rnacentral:lncRNA from 1 species
AGUGACUGGAUUAAGAAAAGGCAUGUGACUCAGUUCUAUGAAAUAGGAGAGAGAAGUCUGCUGAAGGUGCUCCCCUCUUAGAAGAGACACAAGGAAACAACAAUCCUUUCUUUUCCUCUGGGUCUUGGUGUGUGAGGAUGCCACGACUGGAGGGAGCCAGGCGAUAUACGGACAACGGCAGCAAAGAGUGACGGCAGCCCCCAGAAGACAGCUGGAUUCUCAUAUCUGCAUUCAGUCUACUGCAAUAUGAUGUUUUGGGUGGAAUUAUCGGAAGAAAAUCUGGCCUCACACGGACACGUAGUUGGAAGAGGGAGGGUCCCACAGACCCUCUGAAAUGGUCCCCAGGAUCCCAGGGCUCCUCUGACCACACACUGAGGACCGCUGUGCCGGAGCAGGGCACAUCUUAACAAAGAGCCCCCUGGUACAUAGUUGUAUAUUCUCAGUUGUGGAUCCUUCUAGUUGUGGCAUGUGGGACGCCGCCUCAGCGUGGUUUGAUGAGCAGUGCCGUGUCCACGUCCAGGAUUCGAACCAACGAAACACUGGGCCGCCUGCAGCGGAGCGCGUGAACUUAACCACUCGGCCAUGGGGCCAGCCCCAUUUAUACAUAAUUUUAUGUUUUGCUUUUUCUUCAUUGACUACGGUAUUGGACCAUCUUAUUAAAACCUUCCUGAACAUUCUAUCAUACAAAAGUACACGUUUUAUCUAAACUUUCCCCCUUUGAUGUAUCUGGACUCUACCUGAAUAUAACUCUGCAGAGCUUGUCUACUUCACUCUCCGAACAAGCAUCAACACCUAACCCAGCUGGACACC